rnacentral:rRNA from 1 species
UACGUAGGGGGCAAGCGUUGUCCGGAAUCAUUGGGCGUAAAGCGCGUGUAGGCGGCCCGAUAAGUCCGCUGUGAAAGUCCAGGGCUCAACCCUGGGAUGCCGGUGGAUACUGUCGGGCUCGAGUCCGGAAGAGGAGUGUGGAAUUCCUGGUGUAGCGGUGAAAUGCGCAGAUAUCAGGAGGAACACCAAUGGCGAAGGCAGCACUCUGGGACGUGACUGACGCUGAGACGCGAAAGCCAGGGGAGCGAACGGG